rnacentral:lncRNA from 1 species
ACUAACAAUUCUGUAAUUGUAAAUAAUCAAAAAUCUAAAAAGCAACACUUACUUUAUCAAAUGUUCUGAGGUGUUUCUCCUUUUUUUUUUUUUUUUUUUUUUUUAGAUUUUUUGAAAAUUUAUUUAUUUGUGAGAGACAGAAGGAGGCAGAGACACACAGGCAGAGAGAGAAGCAGGCUCCAUGCAGGGAGCCUGAUGCAGGACUCGAUCCCAGGACUCCAGGAUCACACCCGGGCCGAAGGCUGGCACUCAACCGCUGAGCCAUCCAGGUGUCCCUGAGCUGCUUCUCUUGAAGAGAUGUAUAUGUCUAUGGCUCAAUGUUAGGGAAUCACUCCUGGACUAUUCCCAAAGUCCAAAUUCUUGUUUCUUUACUAAGAAAAGCCAGCAUACCCAUGAAGACGCUCAGAAGAACAAAGGACCGUCCGUAGGAUUCCUAUUCCUUAGAAAGC